rnacentral:rRNA from 1 species
UACGUAGGGGGCAAGCGUUGUCCGGAAUCAUUGGGCGUAAAGCGCGUGUAGGCGGUCCGGUAAGUCGGCUGUGAAAGUCCAGGGCUCAACCCUGGGAUGCCGGUCGAUACUGCCGGACUAGAGUUCGGAAGAGGCGAGUGGAAUUCCCGGUGUAGCGGUGAAAUGCGCAGAUAUCGGGAGGAACACCUAUGGCGAAGGCAGCUCGCUGGGACGUUACUGACGCUGAGAACGCGAAAGCGUGGGGGAGCAAACAGG